GUUUGAUGGCGACCGGCGCACGGGUGAGUAACACGUAUCCAACCUGCCGAUGACUCGGGGAUAGCCUUUCGAAAGAAAGAUUAAUACCCGAUGGCAUAGUUCUUCCGCAUGGUGGAACUAUUAAAGAAUUUCGGUCAUCGAUGGGGAUGCGUUCCAUUAGGUUGUUGGCGGGGUAACGGCCCACCAAGCCUUCGAUGGAUAGGGGUUCUGAGAGGAAGGUCCCCCACAUUGGAACUGAGACACGGUCCAAACUCCUACGGGAGGCGCAUG
rnacentral:rRNA from 1 species